rnacentral:rRNA from 1 species
AGUGAACGCUGGCGGUAGGCCUAACACAUGCAAGUCGAACGGCAGCACAGUAAGAGCUUGCUCUUACGGGUGGCGAGUGGCGGACGGGUGAGGAAUACAUCGGAAUCUACUUUUUCGUGGGGGAUAACGUAGGGAAACUUACGCUAAUACCGCAUACGACCUACGGGUGAAAGCAGGGGAUCUUCGGACCUUGCGCGAUUGAAUGAGCCGAUGUCGGAUUAGCUAGUUGGCGGGGUAAAGGCCCACCAAGGCGACGAUCCGUAGCUGGUCUGAGAGGAUGAUUCGCCACACUGGAACUGAGACACGGUCCAGACUCCUACGGGAGGCAGCAGUGGGGAAUAUUGGACAAUGGGCGCAAGCCUGAUCCAGCAAUACCGCGUGGGUGAAGAAGGCCUUCGGGUUGUAAAGCCCUUUUGUUGGGAAAGAAAAGCAGCAGGUUAAUACCCCGCUGUUCUGACGGUACCCAAAGAAUAAGCACCGGCUAACUUCGUG